GUAUUGUUGACAUGAAGAAAAAGCUAUUUCGAGGUUGUUUUGACCAUUGAUUGCUAAGUAGGUCAAACUCAAAGUUUUAACUUUUAUUGAUAUUUUAUUUAGUUAAGGAAUCUUCGAGUAAUAGUUAAAAAAAAUCUUUCGCAUUCUAAUUCUAUAGCUAAAUCAUGUGUUGUUGCUAUAUUAUAAACUUUCGUGCAUGAGCCAUUUAAAUCCGUUUGCAUUACUUUUUAGUUGUUUCCCCUGGAAAAUUCUCUUCUUGCUAGCCUUCGCCGAGUUAUUCAACAACAUCGCUAUAUUGCUGAUUUUUGCUGUUGUUUUUUUGGUUAAAGCUGCAUGCUUUUGUUGGAUAAUGUUUAAUUUAUCAUUCACGUUUUACAUAUGAUUCUGUUUAAACCAUAUUUAAUCGAUGUUUUGGUGAAUUUCGCGCAUGCUUAACUUGCCUGAUUUCGGACGUAAUUUACUUUCGGAUACAUGCUCCUCUUGUGUUUUUUUUCGAUGUUUUCUUAUGUAUGCAGAUUAAAAAAAAACAGCUCAUGCUUAAAUGUGUUAUUGAGCAAGUGACUUCUUUAUACUAUGGCAGGAAUAAAAAAACUGUUAUAAAAUUAUAAAGGAAGUUUAGUUACAUGUAUAAACUCACAGUCACAAGUGUGUAAGUAUUACUGUUACAUUUAUUUAUAUUUACUAAAAGUAAAUAUAUGCUCACAUAUCAGUAAGUAUUGUAAAGCCCUAAAUUAUAUUUAAUACACCCAUCUAGGCAGUUAAUUCAUAUAUGUGCUGGCUUUAAUUUACAUUCAUGUUAUUAUCACCCUGCAAUAGGCGGAGGGAUAUUGUUUUGGCCUUGUCUGCCCGUCUUUCCGUCCAUCCGGCACUUUUGUGUUGGGAGCCAUAUCUUGGAAGUGCUUUGGUGGAUUUCAUUGAAACUUGGUAUGAGUAUAUGUAUAGAUAAGAGGAUGAUGCAUGCCAAAUGGCAUUGUACACUAUCUGUUAAUAACGGAGUUAUGGCCCUUGGAACCUAAAAAAAUGCUUUUUUACCUGAGUGUCAAAUAUAACACUUUUGUGUCCAGAAGCUAAUUAGCGGGGGAUAUCAAUUCAAUGAAUUUGCUUGUUAUUAAUUGAAGGGAAAUAAACCUGUUAUUUUGUCUGUCAUUAUGGUGUUUAAAGUCACAUUUAAUGGCAUCCAACCUACUUUAUUUCAAAUACAGUAACACCUGGUGCCGUGACCUGGAUGCAGAUUCUAAGCAGAUGGGCCAAAAUGGGGGCAGCUAGAGAGACUCGCCUGGAACUGACAAGCCUGGAGGGAGCUGGUUGACUGUUGGCGAGAUGGGACAACAGACGAAGAAUAAACGAACCUACUUGAUUUGAUAAACAUUUUUAUGUUUUUCAGUUUCGUCGGAAGACAUUUCCCACCAACCAUCCUGUCUUGAAAGAAAUAACUUUUGAACCCGAUUAUCUGAUAUUUUCCAGUUUCCCCUCACAACAAUUUGCAUCAAACCUCUUGUCUGGGACAUUUGACAGAUUUCCGGGACAGCAGGACAAGUUCUUCAUUUCCGGGACUGUCCCGGACAAUCCGGGACGCAUGGCAUGUAUGAUAUAACAGUUCAUACAGUUUAAGAAAUACAAUACAUUUUAUACAAUGUCGUUUUUAUGCCCCCGAACCAGCGAUUUUGAGGGCAUAUAAAAAUCGCUCCGUCCUUUAGUUUGUUAGUCCAUCCGUCCGUCUGUAAGUUAGUAAGUCCGUCUGUCAAUCCGUCCGGAUUAUUUUCCGUUCAAUAGUCUAGCAAUUGUCAUCAGAUCUUCACCAAACUUCAUGAAAAUGUGUAAGGCAAUAACAUCUAGGUCAAGUUAGAUAAUGGGCCAAAUAGACCCAGACACCCCUGAGUUAUGGCCCUUGAAUCAUAGUAAAAUAGGGUUUUUAGCUCGACUAUUAUAUAUGAAAUAUAUAUAGUGGAGCUUUCCUACUCUCCCCGGGGUUCCAGUGUCCGUGAGCGUUGGAAUGAACUAUAGUGGGGGACAUAUUGUUUUCGCCCUGUCUGUUGGUCUGUCUGUUGGUUUGUUUGCUCCAACUUUAAUAUUUUGCCAUAACUUUUGCAAUAUUGAAGAAAGCAACUUCAUAUUUGGCAUGCAUGUGUAUCUCAUGGAGCUGCACAUUUUGAGUGGUGAAAGGUCAAGGUCAUCCUUCAAGGUCAAAGGUCAAAAUAUACCUAGAAAGGUGCAGAUUUGCUUCAGUUUUGUGUUUAGGUUCAUUUUAUUCCUAAAAUAUCACAGCUAUUACACUAUGCCUCCAAACAAUAUACGAAAGCUUGACCCAAACCAAGACACUCUUGAUGUAAGUAAUGGUAGGUGAACGUAAGAAUUAAAUGCUGGCAAUUCACAUGAAAUUUACAUGAGGGUUUAUUAAUUAUCCAUGGUCCUGAUCCCUUUAAUAUCUGAAAUCCCUGUUUGUGCAUAUAACAUAAUGAGAACACCCUUUGGUCGACCUAACUUUGUAUUUCAAUCAGUUUCUUGUUUUGACCAUUAUUUUUACAUUAUCAUCAAAACUUGUUAGUUUCCUACCCUUGAAAAAGGAGAGGGACUUACGGUUUGCGCUCUGUGUCUGUCAGUCUGACACUUUUCUGGAUCCUUCGAUAACUUUAAAAGUUCUUCACCCAUUUACUUCAAAUUAAUACUGAACCUCUCUUAUGACAAUACGGUCAAUCUCAACUAUGUAUGGCCCCAUUACCAACCCUGGGGUGCCCCUCCCACAUAGGCCACGCCCACCCAAAAUUGCCUUUUACUAUAAUUUCUUCAUUUCUACACCGAUUCACUUCUAAUUGAUACUGAACUUCUCUUAUGACAAUACGGUCAACUAUGCAUGGCCCCAUUACCAACCCUGGGGCGCCCCUGGGUCAAACAUGCGGCGUGGGGAUAUGCGUCGGUCUCUGCCGCGCCAUUUCUAGUCAACAUUGGAGACAUUGGCAUCUUAAAGGAAUAAUUAUGUAUGAGCCCAAAUUUUGCAGAACUAUGGCCCUUGCUCAUUUUUGUUUAGCUCCUCAGCUGAAAUCAUCAUCUAGCAGUCACAAUAGUUGAGCGGUUGGAGAGGCAUGCAUUGCGUCCUACUACUGCUCAGACUAUAUUAUGUUUGGCAGACAAAACAUGCUGAUCAAAAAGAAUGUGUACCACAGGGGCCAGUGUUUCCAUUUGAGUGAUUGACAAGAAGAAGAAGAGAUGAGAAAUGUUAUCAUCAUAUUUUAGUCCCUACAUUUAUAGUGUACAGCUCAAUGUAUUGAACCGGUGUUGUAGAAUAUAAUUGGAGAUACAUUUGAACAUUAUAACAUUAUAUAUAAGAUGAUAUUUCAAAAGCAAUAAGAAAUAAAAAGUAUAAAAAGGUCAAAACAGUAAACCUUGUGUUUACAGUGGACAGGUUUAAAGUGGAAGUGACUAGUUAAUUGUUGAUCAUAAGCUGCACUGAUUGAAAAAAUAGUGGGAAAUUACUAUCUAGAAAACUGUUUAACGUACGACAACAGUUGUGGAACUUCAUAAAUGACCGUAUGUAACAGGGCUGGGCAGUUUUCCUUAUAUAGCUAUAGUGAAACCUUUUGAACACUAGUGAAGUCACUGUUUUUUUUCCAAUCUUCAUGCAUUUUGGUCGAAUAUUUGUUCAAAUGAUGGCUCAGUCCAGUUUCGAAAUUUUUAUGUCUAUUCAAAAAACAUAUCCACUAGAGCACGAGGCAAUUGUCUUUAUAUGGCUAUAAUGAAACCUUGUAAAUUCUCUAGAAGUGACAUUUUUAGCCAUAUCUCCAUAAAUUUUGGUCAGAAUAUUUAUUCUAAUGAUAGCUCAGUUGUCGAGUUUGUAACUGGUUCCGGUUUGUAGACUAACAUGGCUGCCAGUGGACAUGACAGUUUUUCUUAAUGUGCUAGAGUAGAACCUUGUUAACACACAAUUGGCCUUUUUUAUGUGCAUUUUUCAUGAAAGAUGAUCAGAGCAUUUGGCCCAAUGUAAUCUCAGCUGACUUUGAAACUGGAUCACAUAACGUCAAAAAGUGGGUCAAAAUGUCAAAUUAAAAAAAGCUUGUAAACACUGGAAGUUGCAUUUAAAAUUGUGUUCCUUUUUUAUGGGGGACAUAUUGUUUUUGCCCUGUCUGUUGGUUGGUCUGUUGGUUGGUUGGUUUGCGCCAACUUUAACAUUUGCAAUAACUUUUGCAAUAUUGAUGAUAGGAACUUGAUAUUUUGCAUGCAUAUGUAUCUCAUGGAGCUGCACAUUUUGAGUGGUGAAAGGUCAAGGUCAUCUUUCAAGGUCAAAGGACAAAUAUAUGGGUCAAAAUCGCUCAUUUAAUGUACACUUUUGCAGUAUUUCAAUAUUCAAGAUAGCAACUUGAUAUUUGGCAUGCAUGUGUAUCUCAUUGAGCUGCACAAUUUGAGUGGUGAAAGGUUAAGUUCAUCCUUCAUGGUCAGAUGUCAAAUAUAUGUGUCCAAAAUCGCUCAUUUUAUUAUACUUUUGCAAUAUUGAAGAUAGCAACUUGAUAUUUGGCAUGCAUGUGUAUCUCAUGGAUCUGCACAUUUUGAGUGGUGAAAGGUCAAGGUCAUCCUUCAAGGUCAGAGGUCGAAUAUAUGUGGCCCAAAUCGCUUAUUUUAUGAAUACUUUUUCUAUAUUGAAGAUAGCAACUUGAUAUUUGGCAUAAAUGUGUAUCUCAUUGAGCUGCACAUUUUUAGUGGUGAAAGGUCAAGGUCAUCCUUCAAGGUCAAAUAUAUGGGUCAAAAUUGAUCAUGUAAUGUCACUUCUGCAAUAUUGAAGCUAGCAAUUUUAUAUUUGAAAUGCAUGUGUAUCUCAUGGAGCUGCACAUUUUGAGUGGUGAAGGGUCAAGGUCAUCCUACAAGGUCAAACGUCAUAUAGGGGGACAUUGUGUUUCACAAACACAUCUUGUUUAAAGUUUGUCAAAACAUUUGCUGUAAUGAUAAGCAAAGUCAAGUUUAUAAAUUUGUCUACAAAUUACAUAUUUUUCAUUAAGUUCAUUUAUUAUUCUAAACUACACCCUCUCAGAAUAGUUUAGUUACUUCUGGUCACAGUUGAGCACCUUAGGGCUCUUGUUCUAUAAUUUGAUUGUUUUGGAAAAUUGUCAUUUUGCCAAAAUGUGAGCAAGUCCAAAUUUAAUUAACCCUGCUUUGUAGUAUCUUGUUUUCCUUAUAUGUUAAAAGUGGAAAAUUAUCUAUGAAUCUGACUGCAUAGAUAUUUGGUAUUCAGCAAAGCAUCGUGUAA